CGUGCGGCUGCCAAUAGGCAGAGGGAGGGCGGGGAGGGGCGGGGCCAAGGAGGACCGUGAGAAGGGUCCUGAAACUGGAGCGGAUCCCGAAUGGCUAGCCCAUCCGUGAGCUGCCCUGAGCCAAGGCGGUCGCUGAGCGCAAACCCUGCCACUGGGCUAGCUAGCGCUGAGCCCCGACGUCCGACGCUGUCUACACUUGCCACGGCAGUCCAUUUGGUGUAGCUGUGUGUGACUCAGGGAAGGCGGGCCCAGAAGGAAGAAACCUGGGACCGAAGAAAGGGAGGAGGGAUACUGGAGGAGUACCUGAAGGCGAGAUCUGAGGAUUUGUGGGACUCUGCUUGGCUCCGCCCUCGCCGGGUUCCGCCUAUUGCUGGUGCUCUAGCACCCGCUCCUACCCAAGCCCCUCCGAGGAUACCCAAGGUCUAUGUGUGGCCAUGGUGGACAGAGGACUGGGACAAGUGACCACCUUUGAGUGCCACCGACGAUGAUCACCUUGGUUCUAUGACUCAGCUGCUCUCACCACCCCUUUCUGCCAGAGCUCCACGUGUCUGUCACUUUGCCAAAAGCUAUUUCCCAUACUUUAAAAAGGAGGCAUUGAGCAAGGCUCAAAGAGAUUAAGCUUUGGCUGACCAGAAAAGCUGACGUUUGAAGCCAGGCAGUGUGACUCAAGAGCCCCAACUCCUAAGCAUACACCUUCCCAGUAAAAGAAAACACACCAUUCCACCCACCCCUCCAGUGAGUUUUUCCUCAACAGUCUCUGACUCACAAUGCAAAAACUAAGAAAGGAAUUAUUAAUCCCAUAGAAAGGAGGAGGAAAGCGGCCUCCGGGGACUAGGCAAACCUGCUUGAGGGUUGUACAAGGGACAAGAGGUUGUACCAUGAGCGUUCCACUUUCUCCUCCCCGCCCCACCCGCACUUUCUCUAGGACCUAGCUGUUGGAAUAGACCUUAGUGUCGUCUGACCCAUCUAUACUGCCAUGAAAUUUUGAAAUUAGAACAGCAGAAGGAGGACACAUUGGUUCACCUCUAUAAUCCCAGCUAGUCAACCAGCCUAGAAACAACACAGCAAAAACCCAGGGGUGUGGCUCUUGCGUGUAAUUCCAAGAGGAUUUCUGCAAGUUCAAAGUCAUCCUAAGCUAUACAGUGGAUUAAGGCUAAUGAGAUUAUAUAGCAAGCCCUUAUCUCAGAAUGGGGAGUGGGCAAUAAAAAGUGGGGUAGUGUGUCUCAUACCUAUCAGCCCAGCUAUGUUAACCAGACUGGGUAGCAUAGUAAGAACGCAUCUGAAAAAUAAAAAAAUAAUGAUAAAUAUACAGGAA